UAAUGGACCCUGCAUUCAAUACAUACUCGACAAACCAAGUGCCCUUUAACAUAUAAGCCGUCCCCGAUAAUUAAUUUUAUUCUUCCUAAAUCUUCGCGUACUCAACAAACCAAGUGCAUCGCCGCUUUCCAGGUGCCCAUAUCAGUCAUGUAAGAAUUGUUGCGCAAAAUCUCAAAACCCGUGCCAUGUACAUGGAAUUCUCAUAGGGUACCCAAACCAGUGAGCAAGAAGAAUAUGUUAGAAGUCCAGAAAAGGAGUUCAGGAGUUCAGGAGAGAUGAGGCAUUGGCUGCGUUUAUUGACAAAAUUAACAAAGCCCAGAAUGAGAAAGAUCUGAAACUCUGCAUGGAGAUGAAAGAUCAGCUUGUUAAUCCGCAUACUGAGAGUACUCAAGCAGAAUCCGAAAGUGUUGCAAUUCGUAUGGCGCUCCAGACUGAUGAUGUGGUCAAACCUCUGUUCGCUUAAUUUUUUUUAUUUUUUAUUUUGAAAGGUACCCCAAAACUUGUUUGUUGUUUUCGGAAGGUACCCCAAAACUUUUGAUCCUCCAAAUUAUAGACAAAUUAGUGCAUACUCUGAUUCCCUGGAGGAGCUGUAGGAGCUGUAGUCUAUGAUGAGUUCUUGGUACCAAAAACUUGAAUGACUCAGUCGGCGAAUUGAAUAAGAAUCAAACCAUUAAUAUGCAUCCGUCCGUUUAGAACGGUUGCAUACUAAUGGUUUGCUUGCUAGUCGAUUUGCCAAAUGAAACAUUCAAGUUUUUUGGUACCAAGAACUCAUCAUAGUCUACAACUCCUUAAUAUGCUCCAGGAAAUAUAGAUCAUGGUUUAUAAGUAAAUAAUCAUUUAUAGUUUUAGUGGAGGAUCAACGAACACUUGAUCACGUCAUCUGUCAGAGAUUGACCACAUCAUCAGUUUGGAGGCCCAUAAAAAUUGCAUCACUUUCGGGUUCUGCAUGAGGACUCUCGGUAUGCUGAUUAAAAAGUUGAUCUUUCAUCUCCAUACAGACUUUCGGAUCUUCCUCAUUCUGGGCUUUGUUGAUUUUGUCAAUACAAGUUAUCCACUCAAUUAAUUAUAUAUCACAUAUUUAUAUUUUAAUUCAGGAUUUUUAAUAUAUUUUGGGUUUUUCUUGAAAAA